rnacentral:rRNA from 1 species
CCUACGGGAGGCAGCAGUGGGGAAUAUUGCGCAAUGGGCGAAAGCCUGACGCAGCGACGCAGCGUGAGGGAUGAAGGUCUUCGGAUCGUAAACCUCUUUCAGCAGGGAAGAAAGGUCACUGUGCUAAUCAGCAGUGAAUUGACGGUACCUGCAAAGGAAGCACCGGCUAACUCCGUGCCAGCAGCCGCGGUAAUACGGAGGGUGCGAGCGUUAAUCGGAAUUACUGGGCGUAAAGCGAUCGUAGGCGGUAUGUCAAGUCAAGGGUGAAAUCCCCGCGCUCAACGUGGGAACUGCCUUUGAAACUGGCAAGCUGGAGUGUGUGGGAGGCAAGUGGAAUUCCAGGUGUAGGAGUGAAAUCCGUAGAUAUCUGGAGGAACAUCAGUGGCGAAGGCGACUAUCUGGCACAUAACUGACGCUGAGGAGCGAAAGCGUGGGUAGCAAACAGGAUUAGAUACCCGAGUAGUC